rnacentral:misc_RNA from 1 species
ACAAACUUGGUCAUUUAGAGGAAGUAAAAGUCGUAACAAGGUUUCCGUAGGUGAACCUGCGGAAGGAUCAUUAAAGGUUUAGGGUACUCAGUGCCCAAACUUCUACCCUAUGUUUUGCUAAACUGUUUCUUUGCCGGUCUCGGCCGGCAGAAGACCUCUCAAACUCAUUUAAUCUGUUCUGAAUACGAUAAAAAAUCGUUAAAACUUUCAACAACGGAUCUCUUGGUUCUGGCAUCGAUGAAGAACGCAGC